rnacentral:rRNA from 1 species
AGGACGAACGCUGGCGGCGCGCUUAAAACAUGCAAGUCGAACGAGAAGCUCGGAGCUUGCUCCGGGUGGAAAGUGGCGAACGGGUGAGGAGCACGUGAGGAACCUGCCCCGAAGACCGGGACAACACCGGGAAACCGGUGCUAAUACCGGAUGCCCUCACCGGACCGCAUGAUCCGGUGAGGAAAUGGAUUCCGCUCCGGGAGAGCCUCGCGGCCUAUCAGCUAGUUGGUGGGGUAACGGCCCACCAAGGCAUCGACGGGUAGCUGGUCUGAGAGGACGAUCAGCCACACUGGGACUGAGACACGGCCCAGACUCCUACGGGAGGCAGCAGUGGGGAAUCUUGCGCAAUGGGCGAAAGCCUGACGCAGCAACGCCGCGUGCGGGAUGACGGCCCUCGGGUUGUAAACCGCUUUCAGUGGGGACGAACCAAGACGGUACCCACAGAAGAACGCCCCGGCCAACUACGUGCCAGCAGCCGC